rnacentral:rRNA from 13 species
GGUUAGACGGAAAGACCCCGUGAACCUUUACUAUAGCUUUACACUGGAUGCUGAUGUUGUCUGUGUAGGAUAGCUGGGAGGCUUUGAAACCACGUCGCCAGAUGCGGUGGAGCCAACCUUGAAAUACCAGCCUGACAUCAUUGGCGUUCUAACUCAGGUCCGUUAUCCGGAUCGAGGACAGUGUAUGGUGGGUAGUUUGACUGGGGCGGUCUCCUCCUAAAGAGUAACGGAGGAGCACGAAGGUACCCUCAGCACGGUUGGAAAUCGUGCAUUGAGUGCAAGAGCAUAAGGGUGCUUGACUGCGAGACAGACACGUCGAGCAGGUACGAAAGUAGGUUCUAGUGAUCCGGUGGUUCUGUAUGGAAGGGCCAUCGCUCAACGGAUAAAAGGUACUCCGGGGAUAACAGGCUGAUACCGCCCAAGAGUUCAUAUCGACGGCGGUGUUUGGCACCUCGAUGUCGGCUCAUCACAUCCUGGGGCUGAAGCCGGUCCCAAGGGUAUGGCUGUUCGCCAUUUAAAGUGGUACGCGAGCUGGGUUUAGAACGUCGUGAGACAGUUCGGUCCCUAUCUGCCGUGGGUGUACGAGACUUGAGAGGAGCUGUCCCUAGUACGAGAGGACCGGGAUGGACGCACCUCUGGUGCACCGGUUGUCGCG